rnacentral:rRNA from 1 species
UACGUAGGGACCAAGCGUUGUUCGGAUUUACUGGGCGUAAAGGGCGCGUAGGCGGCAUGACAAGUCACUUGUGAAAUCUCCGGGCUUAACUCGGAACGGCCAAGUGAUACUGUCAAGCUAGAGUGCAGAAAGGGCAAUCGGAAUUCUUGGUGUAGCGGUGAAAUGCGUAGAUAUCAAGAGGAACACCUGAGGCGAAGGCGGCGACCUGGAAGGUAACUGACACUGAGCAGCGAAAGCGUGGGGAGCAAACAGG